rnacentral:rRNA from 1 species
CACGUAGGGCGCAAGCGUUGUCCGGAAUUAUUGGGCGUAAAGAGCUCGUAGGCGGACUGUCACGUCUGCUGUGAAAAGCUAGGGCUUAACCCUGGCCUUGCAGUGGAUACGGGCAGACUAGAGGUAGGUAGGGGAGGAAUGGAAUUCCCGGUGUAGCGGUGAAAUGCGCAGAUAUCGGGAGGAACACCGGUGGCGAAGGCGGUUCUCUGGGCCUUACCUGACGCUGAGAAGGCGAAAGCGUGGGGAGCGAACAGG